rnacentral:lncRNA from 1 species
UCUAAUCCUCUGCCUUGCUGCUUUCAUUUGUAGGUGAAGGCUAUUGAUAUCACAGUGCUGGAAUUGCCAGCAUUUGUUUGGAGAGUUGGACACAACCGGGGCUUUGUUAUCAUGGUGCUGUCUCAUCUUUGCUUAUGAUCUCUGUUGUGAUGAAGAGAAAAGGAAGAACGUCUGCUCCCUCCUGGAAGCCUUUACUUUGAAGGCCCUGUCUGUGGAAGUCCGUGUCUCAUGCUGUCAUUGGAGUGCUAUGGCGAAAGAGCUUUCGAUAAGCUGCUGCACCUCUGCCCUUUUUGAUAGUCUGUGACAUUACACAGUGAGGUAAAAUGAAAGAAGAUUUUGCCUCUGUGUUCUGCAGAUUCAUCCUGUUUCAACGGACUUUACCUUAUAAGAAUUCAUCAGAACUGCGCAUUCAUCUGGCUUUGAUGUGGAACCGAAUGUCUCGCUCUUGCCUCAUACGACUCGUGGAUCAAGUGGCUCACUGUGUGAGUGGUUUCAAAAUUCUCUGCUAGAGGCAAGAACGGAGCCCGGUGCGGCAGAAGCUGUUUUCCUCGGACUGGCGGAGCCUGUGUCCUUACUGUCCUGAAGAGGAACAAAUAACAACUAGGUAUUUCAUUUGCUAGCCUUUAAACUAA